UACGGAGGGAGCUAGCGUUGUUCGGAAUUACUGGGCGUAAAGCGCACGUAGGCGGCGACUCAAGUCAGAGGUGAAAGCCCGGGGCUCAACCCCGGAACUGCCUUUGAAACUAGGUUGCUAGAAUCUUGGAGAGGUCAGUGGAAUUCCGAGUGUAGAGGUGAAAUUCGUAGAUAUUCGGAAGAACACCAGUGGCGAAGGCGACUAACUGGACAUGUAUUGACGCUGAGGUGCGAAAGCGUGGGGAGCAAACAGG
rnacentral:rRNA from 1 species